rnacentral:lncRNA from 1 species
GGAGGUCUGGAAGUUGCUGGUUUUUCAUAUUUUGACAUAUGUGAGUUCAAUUUUUACUUUUUCUUAGUAAUUUUUAUGUUUUUGUGACUUUUACAAUUAGGUUCAACUAUCUAAUUCAUUAGUUUUUGAUUUUAUGAGUGACUUUAAAAGUUACCAUGAAUAAGUGUUGUAUUAUUGUGGUGAAUUAUUAUGAAAUUGAAGUUAUUAUUUAUUAUAUGAUGAUUUUAUUAAGUGAUUUUUAUAGAAAUUGAUUUUAGGACCUAAUUGUGAAAAAGUUGUGAAUUAAGGUUUGGUACUGAAAUUAUAAUUUCCAAAGGUUGUGUAGUAGCUUAUAAUGAAUAAAUAAAGUGUUAAUUGAGAAAAAUUAGUUGAAUUGAUGGGUUAAUUGAGAAGGGACUAAAUUGUAAAAAUUAUAAAAAUUUAGGGAAAAGUGUAAUUUUAAGAAUUAAAGGGUAUAAACUGUAAAGUAUAGUAAAAUUGAAAUGAAUGCUAAUAAAUUAAUGAUUUUACAAUUAUAGAUCAAGAACACGAAGUGAAUCGUGAAAAAGAGAAAAUAGCUGAUUAGUCCCUGAACUCGUAUGACUUUUGCGAAUUUGCCUAGGUAAGUUCAUAUGGCUAAAUUCAAUAUUUUGUUAUGAAAAUUUCAUGAAUAUUAUGGUAUAUUAUUGUAUAUGAAGGUUAUAAAAUUUUGAUAAUUGUAAAAUAAUGAUUAAGUAAAAGUACAAAUUAGUUAGAACGAUGGAUUUGAGUACUUUCGUUCAGUGGCUAAGAUGAAUUGACAGAAAAGACCAUGGUUGGACCAUGGCAACAUGUGAUCUGUGAUUUCAGAAUAAGACCAUAGCUGGGUUAUGGCAUCGGUGUGAUAUGAGCUUCCGUAUAAGACCAUAUCUGGGAUAUGGCGUCAGUAUGAUAUGUGCUUCUGAAUAAAACCAUAUCUGGGAUAUGGCAUCAGUGUGAUAUGUGAUCCGUGUAAGACCAUGGCUGACCUAUGGCUUCGGUGUGUGAUAUGUGACUAUGUGCAAAACCAUAGUUUUACUAUGGCAUUGUGAUAACGAAGUACUCAAUUUCGUAAUCAUUCCCUAAUUUGACUAUGAGAAUAAAUGAGAAAUGAACCCAAAAGAACAAGAAUUAGUGAAUAGUGACAUUGAAAUCAAUGAAAUGAGUUUAUUAAUGAUUUUGUGAUUUAUAGGAGGAUUUAUUGAAAUUAAAUGUUAUAUGAUUAUAUGCAAUGUUCGGUAAGAUUUAUUUUUCUAUGCCUAUGAGCUUACUAAGCUUUCAUAAGCUUACUCUUGUGUGUUAAAUGUUCUUGUAGAUUGACGUGAAAUCAGUGGAUCGAAUCAACACAUUAGGGCACACUAUCCAGAUUACUUUGGUAAAUUUUAUUGUGCAUUUUAAGGUUUAUAUGGUAUGUAUAGGGUUUAAUUAAAAGGAAGUUAAGGUGUUAUAAACUUAGUUAUCAACAUUUUUCACUAAAACGGUUUUGGACAGUAGUAGUAGUCCAAAUUUGAAAAAUCACCAAAAAUUUUGAAAAUUGAAUUUGAGGUUUAAUAAAAUAUGAAAUUAAAGCCUAUUGAAUCUAUUUUUACAUAGAAGAAACAGUGUAAGCAAAAGAAUCGUAUUUUAUGAGAUAUUUGAAUUGUUGUGAGAUAGAGUUAGAAUGAUUUCGGAAUCCCCUAUUUUGAUUUGGGAAAAUCAUUAAAAAUUGUACAAAAAUAAUUAUAGGUUAUAAUUUAUAUUUUUAAAAUUCUUAAUGAGUCUAUUUUCAAAAGAAACAAAUAGGAAUAUCAUCCGAAUUCCGUAUGAGGAGAUAAUUAAUUUUUAGUAAAGAAAGGUCGAAGCUGCCAAACAGCAGAAUAGGGGUAACUUUGAAGGAUAAACUGUACUUUUUGGCUAAACCAAAAAUUUUGAAAAUUUUAUGGUAAGAAGAUAUGUGAGUCUAGUUUCAGGAAAAAUUAGUGGAACUUUAUUUUGAGUUCUGUAGCUCAAGAUAUAAAUAAUUUAUUGACUAUGACUCAAGUGGACAGUUUUGCUAUGAACAGUAAAUUUCAUGAAUUAUUUGAAAAUUUUUUGAAAUUUUCGGUAAUGCUCUGUAACCCUAUUCCAGUGUCAGAUAUGGGUUAGGGGUGUUACAGUUAUCAUCGGUUAAUCCUUAACCAAGUAUAAAUAAUUAAUAAUAAGUAUAUACUUAAGUUAAAUUUAGUGUAAAUAAUUUAUAAUAUACACUAUGUGUAACAGCCCGAUUUUGGACCUAGUCGGAACAGUGGUUUCGGGAUCACUAUUUUGAGGCUAGAGAAAAUUAUUUUAGUAUUAUUUUAUGUGUUAUAAUAUAAUUUUAAAAGUGCAUGUAAAUUUUGGUAAGUUAAUUUUAGCAAUUUCUAGUCCAAUUUCGAAAAAGGACUAAAUCACGUAAAAGGUAAAAGUUGUGUUUAAUACCUAAAGGUGUGUUAAAUUGCCUUGUAUCUUAAAUUGGGGGUCUUUAAAGUGAAAUUAGGCCAUUGAAAGUGUGAUGGCUGGCCAUGGGAGACAAAAUUGUUGAAAAGUCAAAAUUAGGUGAAAUUUGGUCACCAAUUUUGACUAGUUUUAUUAUUAACAAAUCAAAAAGAAAAAGCUAUCAUUUUUCUCUUCUCCUUCACCGAAAUAUGUAGCAAAGAAAGGGUUUUGAAGCUGGAAAAUUUCAGCAACAUAUUUCCCUUUCUUGUAAGUGAUUUUAAUGUCUUUGCUUGAUGAUUUCUAUAUUUUUGGAACCCCUAAAGCAUGAGCUUUCAUAAGAGGGGACUAUUUUGCAAAAUUAUGAAGAGUCUAGGGUUUUGCCAUGAGAGUAAAUGUGUUGUUUGCUGUGUUUUUAUGGAAGAUUAUGAGUCCUAGUUGUCUAAUAAACAACUUUUGUGAAAGAAAUUGCAUGAAAACACCUUAAAAAAUGGCUAGAUUGCUAAGUUGUAAAAUGAGUUGUAAUGUGUAAAAUAGUUGAAAUUAUGAGUUUCUAUAGUUAUGAAAAUGGUUCAUCUAGACUCAAGGAGUAAAGAAAUGUGAUAAAAAUUAUUUUACGAGCAUUGGGGCAAAAGUGAAAAUAUGCAAAAGUUUAGGGGUCAAAAUGAAAAUUUGUAAAAAUAUGAUUUUUAGACCCAUAUGAAUAUUUUGACUGAUUGGUAGGCUAAAUGUGAUAUUAUAAAUCAAGGAAAUCGAGAUUUGGACCUAGAACGGAAAGAAAUCGAUUAAGGGAUGAUUAUGUCCUUUUCACCUUUGUGGUAUCGAGGUAAGUUUGUAUGUAAACAAUACCAUGCUAUACAUGUAUUUAAAUGUUAUCAUUACAUGAAUUGUACAGAUAUUAAGUGUAUGUGAUUAAUAGAAAUAUGAUAAGACAAAGCCUUAAUAGACGAGGAAAAAUCUCGUUUGAACCUUAGGAAUAGAAUAGGAUACGAGUGACAUGUCACUAGGAAUUAUGAGUCUAGAUGACUAGCUCGAGAGUGAGCAUUGAAAUGUCAUGAGAUAUGAGGUAGCUUUAGCUACAAUUGAGGCACUUAUGUGCAAAGGCUUUUCCGAGUAUCCAAUUAGUAUUCCAAGUGUUCAACGGGUAAUCCAAGGAAAGAGUUGAUGAUGGUCCCAAUGAGGUAAGUCAUUGGUGAGUAUACACUUGAGUUAUGUUACGAGUUGUGCAAGUAUGUAUAUUAAGCCUAUGAAAAUGCCUUGAUAUGUGAUGAUCUAUGAUGCAUAAUAUGUGUUCUUACCAUGAUGGAUGAAAUGAUGUUGUAUUAAUUUUGUGAACAAUGAUCAUAAAUGAGUAACUUAGCCUUGACAGAUUUGAGUUACUGCAGUAGUGUAACUUUGAAAAUACACUAAAAAUAGUGGAAAAUUAGUUAGAGGCAGAAUAAAAUAUGAGAUUAAAGCUUAAUGAGUCUAUUUUCACAUGAAAGAAACAGGGGAAGAAAAAGAAUUCUAUAUUGUGUGAUAUUUGAAUUCUUGUAAAACAAGGUCUGAAUGAAUUCGAGAUCCCCUAUUCUAACUUUAAAAAUUCAUCAUAAAUUGUAAUAAAAUUAUUAAGAGUCAUACCUUACAUGCAUGGAUUCUUUACUGAGUCUAUUUUUAAGGGAAACAAACGGCAUGGUCAUUGGAAUUCUGUACAGGGAGAAAUUCGAUUCGUAGUGCACAAGGGUCAGAGUGGUCAUACCCUGAAACAAGGGAGAUUUUAACUAAUAAACUGUACUAAAUGGCUUGACCAAAAAUUCUAGAAAAAAAUUAGUAAGUAUAAAUAUGAGUAUAGUUUCAAGAUAAAUAGACAAGAACAUUAUUCGAAUCCUGUACUAUGAGAUAAUUGAACUUUAGUGCAAAAGGGUUGAAACUGUCAGAUAGUGAAUCAGGAGCAAACUUGAGGAAUAAACUGUACUAAUUGGCUAAGUCAAAAAUUCUGGAAAUUUUAUGAAAGAAAGAUAAAUGAGUCUAGUUUCAGGGAAAAUUAACGGAACUUAAUUUGGAGUUUCGUAACUCCAGAUAUAAAUAAUUUAGUGACUAUUGCUCAGGAAGACAGCUUGCAGUGAACUUGAGAAUAUGUUGUAAACAUUGAUAAAACAAGUUAAUGAGUUGCUUAUUGUUUUCAUAUGAAUUUACUAAGCGAAAGCUUACCCCCCCUUCUUUCCCAUGUUUUCUAGAGUUUCCAGGUUAGCUCGGGUUGGAGGCCGUCAGAGAUAUUAUCAUACUGUCGAGUUAACGCUAUCGACGUAAGUAAACUCAAGUGAUUCUAGUCUAUGGCAUGUAUAGGGUUUUAAUGUGAGUAUGUAAUAUUAUGAUUUAGCCAAAGGCAUUGGCUUGUUAUUAAGGUAGUAUUAGUCAUUUAAAUUGGCCUAUGUCGGCUAAUAUCGUUAUGGGCCCAUAUGAUUAUUCUUAUGCAUGUAUGUUAUUAUCUCUUGUGAUGUGGCUUACAACAUGUAUGCCUAGAGAUUGAAUUGAGAUUCAUUGAUGAGCUAAUAACUAAUGCAGGAUUAAGUGAUUGGUAAAUAGUUAAUAAUGCUUCAUGAAUGGUUUGUGGAUAUGAUUAUGCAUGCUUUGUGAUGGACAUGAGGUUUGAUGACAUGUUGAUAGCUAUAGCAUUAAUAUGGUAAAGAUGAAAGAAAAACUUAUUGUAAUGGUUGCAUGUGAAAUUGCCAUGGUCAUGUCAUGUUAGGAAGGUUUAAGUGCCUAAUUUUGCCAUGUUGUAUGCUAUUGUAUAAGUAUGCGUGCAUGUGUUGUGAGUGUGACAAAAUGGCUUGGAAAAUAGUCUUGUAUUUGUCCAGGUUUUGGACAUGGGUUCGGGACACGGGCGUGUUCAUAGCACCCGGGCAUGUGUUCUAUACCUACACGGGCGUGUGGAGCCUUGAUACAAGAGAUUUCCUAAGUUUUUCAUGAGUUCUCGGUUGGGUCCCGAACCACCCCGAAUGCAUGUAUUGGGCCUCGCAAGCUCGCAUAAAGGACAGAUUGCAUGAGAAAAGAAAAGUUUUUAAUUAUUUGAGAUUUCAUGGCCCUGUUUAGUAUGGAAGUGUUAGUAAAAGUCAGGUAGCACCUCGAACCCCGUCCAGGUGUCGGAUGCGGGCGAGGGGUGUUACACUAUAUAAUUUUGUAGGUCAAAAUGUAUAGGAAAUUAUCUCUCAUUAGUAAAAAUUUUAAAUUAUUUAAACGAGAUCAAUAAAAUAUAUGUCUUAAAAUUAAAAUACUAUUAUCAUUGUACAAAAAUAACUCUUAAAACUUAAGCCAUGUACCAGCAUGUUUAGAAAACUAUAUGGUAACUAGAUUUGAGUGUAAUUAUUUAAUUACUCUUGUAAUUACUUUAAUUUCU